GAAAAGAAAAAAUACAUUUUGGUCAUAUUUACAAUUUCAUUUUGACACUUUACAAACAUUCUCUGCAUUCUGAGGGUCAACGAUUGAGUGGACUGCCUGGGCACUUGGUCACUUGUUGCUAUCAUUUCAAACAAUGAUAAUGAAUAACUAUGGCUCAUUCUUUAUUUUCUGCCAAUUCACUGAAAAACUAAACUAGAGAAACUAAUCAGUUUCAAAAAGAUUUUGAAUCCAGAUUUUCUUUCAUCAUGCACCCACAACAAAAAUGCUUAGAUUUCUAUUUAGUUAGUUUAAUUGAAGUACUAAUUUAAAGAAAUUAUAAUGUAGCCUUCUGUUUUAUACAUUAAAACUAUAUGCUGUCAGGUUGGGGACGGACAAAACAAGACAUUUAAAGACAUCACCUUUCUGACAUUUUAUUGAUCAAACGAUUAACCAAUUAUAACAAAUACUAGCCUAAACAGUUCACUACACAAAUAUUUUGACAGUGUCAGUCUUGAAUCUUUCCCACUAGGUGAGGAUUAGUUCCUUUGCAAAUGUUAAUUAAUAGAUUCACCCGUGUCUCUUAUUAUGGCUCAGACAUUACUGCUAAAUAUGUUUCGUUAAUAAAGUGACUUCUGAAGUGACUUCUUCUAGAAUCGAUCCAAACAACUUUUUGUUGCAAUAGUACUAGUUACACUGAGCCCAUAUAAUUUAAAAUCAAAAUCAAUAACAGUGUGUGCAAACAGUAAGCAAGACAAUUUUCAGCUUGCAUAAGUUUGCGGCAGGCACCUAGGGUGUGCGCCUUUGUUGGCACCUCGCAGCUCGAUGCAGACAGGUUGAAAACCGAGAAAGAAGAUAAAACCACUUUUUAAAUCACUACAUUAAAAAAAAAAUCUGAUCUAUUAGGUAUCAAAUCAGUAUGGCGUCAGUUUCAAAUAUCGUUUUGGUAUCCAAUAUCAUGACAACACUAAUAAAGACUGACAAUUUGGCAGAAAUUGAUGCAAUGUCGGGACGAACUUUUAGCAUUUUCCAGCUAUUUCAGCAACUUUUUACAGGUGAACCACCUCUGAAGAACUGCUGAUAGUUAAAAACGUGCCUGUCCAAGCUAUCCUGCCACAGCAAAUCCACACUGACCAUCCCCUCACAACAGAUUUUAUGCAUAAUACUAUAGAACAGUACGUGACAUGUUACACAUAUACAUAGACAAAUUUUAGGGUGGGUCUCCUGUGGGCUUUGGUGUAAUGUAUGCUGCAUAAUGUAGAGGAAAAAUAAACAAACACAAUAAGAAAAAGGAGCCUUAAUACUGCCUGGCAAUAUCCUUCCUCAUACAUGAGACAAAAAGAACGCUUCAACAGGUUUGGUGGGUUGUCAGCACUAUGAGUUACGUGGAGUCCAAGCAAAUCUGUUGAAUGUACUAAGCAUAACCUCACACCAACUUACUCCUACUAAACAAACAUGGCCCCGUGGGUGUUGACUUUACUGUAAGCCUACAGCCCCACCUAAACAUGCAUUCAAGCCAUUUAGCCGUCCCCUAUAAAGUUUGUAACGCCACAAUCACAUUGGGUAUUUACGUCUCAAAAGACAAGCCGACGAAACACACAACCCUGUUGGAUCUUUACAUGUCAAACUGAGCCAGAAUGUCUCUGGCGGCCCGUCUCUGUUUAGUCUCUGUUGCUGUUGUAGCUCUGUGACUGUGGAAAGCUCUCUCGCACUAGUACAAGCUAAGCCGUGGUAAAAAGAGAGGCAGGUUUGGCUCGGGAUCAGAGCUAAGUGAAAAGGUUAGGACUGCUGAGAGUAAUCUUUAGAAGUGGCCUUCAAAGCAUGAAGUCCCCACAACAACAGGUCAUAUGACCUUUUGGGUAAAAGAAAUGUUGGGUCAAUAGCAGCACCCCUUACAUGAUAGAAGGCUUGACAGUGCGAUGUGUAAAUAAUAAAAAAAAAGGUAUCUGCUACUCUCUCAGCCUGUCAUAAAUAAGAGGGUGAACAUCUAACACUUGCUGUAAUGGGCAUACUUAUGUACAAAAUAAUUAUCAACAUAAUAUGAGAAAAGCCAGGCCAGCCCAAAUGCUGGGGCCAUCUAAACCAAACUGUUCAAGCCACUUCCUUUUAUGGUUGCACUUCAUGUCCCUGCCGUGGUACAUCACUCUGUUCACAAGCUGCAUGUAAACCUUAUCUGUAUGAUUUAUCACUGUAUGCAAAGAUGUAACCUUUUCUGCUUAAAGCAAAUCAAUUAAAAUUUCCUAGUUGUUCUUUACUAUUUGUAAUGACAUUUAUGACAUGUCAUAUUAUUUAGCAGCUCUUGCAGGAACUCUUCGGUCAUCGUUUUCCCAGGACAUGAAAACAAAAUAGUAACCAUAGACAUAAUCAUAGUUCAAACUUUGAACUGAAUGCUGAUCAAAUGACCAAAGGCGGCCUGGCUUCAGAAGAAGAUAGACGAGAAAACUGGGUGUGCUGGAAAACCACAGAAACAGUGGCUUGGUGAUAUUCAGUUUCUUUUCCAUCCCUGACAACUUUAAGGCAGUGCCCACUAGUUGUGCAUGAAUGUAAUGAUUUGGACGGCCUAUGCAUAUGCGAAGGGAUACAUCGAAAUGUAAACAACCCGUUAGUUGUGCACAAAAUGGCAGAAUCGCUUGGUGGUGAUAGAGUUAUGUAUGUUUUGAUCAGAAAACUGCACUAUUCAUAGGUGCUCUGUGUGUGCGUGUGUGUUUGUGUGGGUGUUGUAUUAGUGCUGAUGCAUGUCCAUCAGCACUAAUACACCAUAAAGUGCUACUAAACACUUGGACUUCAUGGCACUUGCAACCCACAUAGAAACUAAUGAAGUUUCCAUUAAGGAUAUCUUGGGCCCAUCUGAUAAUGUUAGUGCAUUUCUGCCUAAGCGGAGCUUGUCAUCAUGUCUUUGUAAUGCAUUAUAAUGGGUUAAAUGAGAAAGGCAUCAACGUUAGUUAACGAUGAAUAAAUGUGACAGUGCUAUGAUAUGACGAAACGCAGCGGCUUGUGUUAUUGUUUGACAGUGUGCUGCCAUGCAUGUGCAAGAAAUGACCGGUUUAAAAUGUCUAUCUGUGUAAAAUUGCGGGAGGAAAAAUAACAAAACAGAGGUGAGGUGGCAGCUCUCAGCUACAGACAGCACUCCACAGGACGCAGCUAGCUUCACGGCUCCGUGUGCCAAUGACAAAUCCUUGGAAACUGAUUACCGACAAAACGGUGCCAGGUCGGGGAGUUAAGUCGCCUUUCGAGAUUAUUUCAUUUGCAUAACAUGAACGCCUAAAGAAAGCAUACCCGGCGGUGGUGCCACUGUGGGGCCCGAGCAGAGCGGAGCUGCUGUCGGACGCGGACCGACCCGUCCGCCGUGAGUUCGACCGAGAGGGGGAAACCCUCCGCUGCAGCCAGCUGAGCGCAACCGGGCAGCAGAGACACCCAGGCGAGAGAAGAGCCGGCGGAGACGGGGAUGAUAUCCAAAAGCGGGGCGGCCGACACUUUGAAAGGCACACAAGGUGUCAGUAAAGCACCGCGCCUGGGAAAUGAAGCGAAGAAGAAGGUCACGUGACUCCCGCGGACGCGUUGGCUUGACAACCGCUGUAAUCUUCACCUGGUGCUAAACAAAGCGAGCACUCAGAAGAC